GCUCCGGUCUUUGUCUUCAACUUGGUCAUCUCCUGGCUUCUGGUGCAGACUGUUCGGCUUCUGCCUGGGACUCUUCAGCCUUCUGGUAUAAGCUCUCCAGACUUCAUCAUAGAUUCUUCAACAUUCCGUUGCAGACCCAUCAGCCUCCUGACACAGACUUGCACGGACACUGCAGUGAGCUCCAGACCUGGGUCUGACCUCUUCAGUCUCCAGCCUGCAGACACCCUCUGCACGCUUCCUCAUCCAACUCUGUGGCUGACCAUUGUAAGCCAAACUUAUAAUUUCUUUAUAAGUACAGGGAAUAAGUUCUGUCCAACCUGAUAAAUGUUAUACACUUUUUUACUGAAAUCCCAGGCAGAUAAGUGCAGGGAAUGAUGUCAAAUAGUGCUCACAUGUUUUGACUUAGCAAUAUUACACUAGUUUCAAGGAUGGAUUUAAAUACCUCAUCAAUGUUGAUUUGAAUUCUCUUCAGAUUGGGGAGGGACUUUUAAAUUAUCUCUCCCAUUCAUCUCUGUUUUAAAAAAGAAAAACCACACAUCUCUCAGUAACAGCAGAUGCAAAUGGGUGAAGCUUGAGCCUCAAAUAUGAGUCACUUUCUCACAUCAUCACUUGUAGCUGGAAAAUACUGAAGCCUCUUGGAUGCCAGGAGCAGACAGGACACCAGGAAAAAUCAGUCAUCUGAAUCUGUAGCCCAUGCACUGGGGCUCAGCUCUUCCACCUGGACCAGACCCCAGAGGCAGUAGAAACCAUAAACGGACACAGGAUCCUAUAUGCAAAUUUCUCAGAGAUGGAAGAAAAAUGCCCGACAUAUGCACAGGUGAAGAAACCUCUUACUUCCAAGAAGCACAAGCAAAAGAAUAACACAAAAGUGCAGCCAAUUUACUCAGAAGUGGAGGAAUAUUCUUUAUGCACCAACCAAACAAACAUACAAACUGAAUCAGCUGAAGAAAAAGAGCCUUCAGUUCCCUUAGCCUGGUGCCUCACAGUGUUGAUUCUUGCUGGCUCAUGUUUCAUUCUCCUUCUGACAACCGGAUUUUUGGGUUUCAAAGUUUUACAGUGUGACCCAAAGCCUAAUCUGAAAAAUGCAACACAAGAGGAUGAAUCCCCUGUCCAAAGCCUGCCAGGCACAUCGGAACAAACCAGCACAGAAAAGGACAAGAGAGCACAUAAAGUUAAUUGGUCAUGUUGUGGAGAGAGCUGUUAUUAUUUCUCACGGGAAAUGAAGAACUUUGAAGACAGUAGGAAACGCUGCAAAGAAAUGGAUUCCACUCUUCUUAAGAUAGAAGAUACACAGGAACUGGUGAUGUAUAUUUUGUUUUGA
rnacentral:lncRNA from 1 species